ensembl:snRNA U6 U6 spliceosomal RNA
GUGCUCGCUUCAGCAGCACACAUACUAAAACUCCAACGAUACAGACAAGAUUAGCAUGGCCUAGGCAAGGGUGACACACAGAUUCGAGAAGCCUUCCAUAUUUUU